AGAGCGAACGCUGGCGGCAGGCCUAACACAUGCAAGUCGAACGGACUCUUCGGAGUUAGUGGCGGACGGGUGAGUAACACGUGGGAACGUGCCUUUAGGUUCGGAAUAGCUCCUGGAAACGGGUGGUAAUACCGAAUGUGCCCUUCGGGGGAAAGAUUUAUCGCCUUUAGAGCGGCCCGCGUCUGAUUAGCUUGUUGGUGAGGUAAUGGCUCACCAAGGCUACGAUCAGUAGCUGGUCUGAGAGGAUGACCAGCCACAUUGGGACUGGGACACGGCCCAAACUCCUACGGGAGGCAGCAGUGGGGAAUCUUGCGCAAUGGGCGAAAGCCUGACGCAGCCAUGCCGCGUGUAUGAUGAAGGUCUUAGGAUUGUAAAUACUUUCACCGGUGAAGAUAAUGACUGUAGCCGGAGAAGAAGCCCGGCUAACUUCGUGCCAGCAGCCGC
rnacentral:rRNA from 1 species